CCCGCACCGAAGCGGUGGAGCAUGUGGUUAAUUCGAUGCAACGCGAAGAACCUUACCUGGGCUUGACAUCCCUGGAAUCCCCUGGAAACAGGGGAGUGCCUUCGGGAGCCAGGAGACAGGUGCUGCAUGGCUGUCGUCAGCUCGUGUCGUGAGGUGUUGGGUUAAGUCCCGCAACGAGCGCAACCCUUGUCUUUAAUUGCCAUCAUUCAGUUGGGCACUUUAAAGAGACUGCCGGUGUUAAACCGGAGGAAGUGGGAUGACGUCAAGUCCUCAUGGCCUUUAUGCCCAGGGCUACACACGUGCUACAAUGGGUGGUGCAAAGAGAUGCAAUCUCGCAAGAGCAAGCAAACCUCAAAAAGCCAUCCUCAGUUCGGAUUGGAGUCUGCAACUCGACUCCAUGAAGUCGGAAUCGCUAGUAAUCGCGGAUCAGCACGCCGCGGUGAAUACGUUCCCGGGCCUU
rnacentral:rRNA from 1 species